GACGAACGCUGGCGGCGUGCUUAACACACGCAAGUCGAACGGAAAGGCCCUGCUUUUGUGGGGUGCUCGAGUGGCGAACGGGUGAGUAACACGUGAGUAACCUGCCCUUGACUUUGGGAUAACUUCAGGAAACUGGGGCUAAUACCGGAUAGGAGCUCCUGCUGCAUGGUGGGGGUUGGAAAGUUUCGGCGGUUGGGGAUGGACUCGCGGCUUAUCAGCUUGUUGGUGGGGUAGUGGCUUACCAAGGCUUUAACGGGUAGCCGGCCUGAGAGGGUGACCGGCCACAUUGGGACUGAGAUACGGCCCAGACUCCUACGGGAGGCAGCAGUGGGGAAUAUUGCACAAUGGGCGGAAGCCUGAUGCAGCAACGCCGCGUGCGGGAUGACGGCCUUCGGGUUGUAAACCGCUUUCGCCUGUGACGAAGCGUGAGUGACGGUAAUGGGUAAAGAAGCACCGGCUAACUACGUG
rnacentral:rRNA from 1 species